UCCCUGGUGGCUCAGGUGGUAGAGAGUCUGCCUGCAAUGCAGAAGACCUGGGUUGGAUCCUUAGGUGGGGAA
rfam:TPA: Bos taurus chromosome 11, whole genome shotgun sequence.